UACAGAGGGUGCAAACGUUGCUCGGAAUUAUUGGGCGUAAAGCGCAUGUAGGCGGCACGGUAAGUUCGCUGUGAAAGCCCUUGGCUCAACCAAGGAAGUGCAGCGAAAACUGCCGAGCUCGAGUUCUGAAGAGGGUCGCGGAAUGGCCAGUGUAGAGGUGAAAUUCGUAGAUAUUGGCUAGAACACCAGUGGCGAAGGCGGCGACCUGGGAAGAUACUGACGCUGAGAGUGCGAAAGCGUGGGGAGCAAACAGG
rnacentral:rRNA from 1 species